rnacentral:rRNA from 1 species
UACGUAGGGUGCAAGCGUUGUCCGGAAUUAUUGGGCGUAAAGAGCUCGUAGGCGGUUUGUCGCGUCUGCCGUGAAAGUCCGGGGCUCAACUCCGGAUCUGCGGUGGGUACGGGCAGGCUAGAGUUCGGUAGGGGAGAUCGGAAUUCCUGGUGUAGCGGUGAAAUGCGCAGAUAUCAGGAGGAACACCGGUGGCGAAGGCGGAUCUCUGGGCCGAUACUGACGCUGAGGAGCGAAAGCGUGGGGAGCGAACAGG